rnacentral:rRNA from 1 species
AUACGGAGGGUGCAAGCGUUAUUCGGAAUCACUGGGCGUAAAGGACGCGUAGGCGGGUUGGCAAGUCAGAUGUGAAAUCCUACAGCUUAACUGUAGAACUGCAUUUGAAACUGCUAACCUAGAGUAUGGGAGGGGGAGAUGGAAUUAGUGGUGUAGGGGUAAAAUCCGUAGAUAUCACUAGGAAUACCGAAAGCGAAGGCGAUUUCCUGGAACGUAACUGACGCUAAGGCGUGAAAGCGUGGGGAGCAAACAGGAUUAGAUACCCUAGUAGUCC